ensembl:lncRNA
CAGUGCCUGCCCCUAGAAUGUGUCAUCCAGUGCCUGCUCCUAGAUAGUGUCAUCCAGUGCCUGCGCGUAGAAUGUGUCCUCCAGGUCCUGCUCCUAGAAUGUGUCAUCCAGUGCCUGCUCCUCGAAUGUGUCCUCCAGUGCCUGCCCCUAGAAUGUGUCAUCCAGUGCCUGCUCCUUGAUUGUGUCCUCCAGUGCCUGCGCCUAGUGAGUGUCAUCCAGUGCCUGCUCGUAGAAAGUGUCAUCCAGUGCCAGCUCCUAGAAUGUGCCCUCCAGUGGCCGCUCCUCCAAAAUGCCCACCCUCCCACCCACUCCUUCCUCCUCCAACGGUGUCAUCUGGCAGCCCCUCUGCACACCCUCAGCCCACCAUCAGCCCACGGGACUGCCAUCCUCCAGCGUCACAGCGUCUCCCUCACCUCCCCCUCCUGCCUCCGAGGCCCGGACUCCGCCUCGGCCCGUAAUCCCAGCGGCUCCACCUCGGCUCCUAGCUCCCUCAUCUCCACCAUCAACCAUCAAUCCAUCAGCUCCACCGGGCUCCCUGGUCCCUCCGGCUCCGCCUUGGUUGGGUGUCGACCCGUUAUUGCCUCUGGACUCCUCUCCACUGGCUGCGCCUAGUUGCUCUGUCCCACCAGCUUCGUUGGGCUCCUUCCUCCCGCCAGCUCCACCUUGGUCCUUAGUUGCUCUGGCUCCCCAGUGGAUCUCUGGAUCUCCACCACCACCUCAGUCGCUAGAGGCCUCGGCUCCACCCUGGCCCCCCAGAUCCUCGGCAUCCCCCCGGCUCGUUGGCUCUCCGUCUCUGCCUCAGGCUCCUCCUCCAACUGCGGCCAUUCCUCCUCCAUGGCUCAUCCCACUGUUGGCACCACCUUGGGCCGCUGUUAUGACUGUGGCCUGGGUCCUGCUGGGCUCCUCUUGCUCCAAGCUCCUCCUGUCUCCUCCCUGGUUCCUCCCUCCGUGGUCUCUGUCUGCCGCCCCCUCCCGGGGGUCCGUUCUCCACUGGAGCCACCUCCCAAGCUCCCAUCUAUGCCUCCUCCUAUUGUUGCCUACGGUGCGAGGACGCACCUUCCGGGAGGGCGGCGAAAUGUCAGAACUAUGGAGUUGUCUGUGUGUUUUUUUCCCUGUGACCCAGUUUCUGUCUCUCUUUGAUUGCUGUUUUGACCCCAGGUGUGUCUCCUUAGCUCUGUCGUUAUCCUGUCUUUAUAAGCUCCA